rnacentral:lncRNA from 10 species
GAUUACAACAGCUCCGGGUAAAUACAAUGCUGGCACAGUGCUUCCAACCCAUCCCACCUGCUGACCUGGAGAAUAAAAGCCUCCUGUCUGUGGGCCUCUCAGAUGAGGUUCAGAUAAAUUCAACAAACAUCUUUCUAUUAUACAAAGCAUUUAAGCAGACACUGUGGAGAAUGUGGAGAUAAAUGACUUCAUCUUUGCUCAGGAUAAGAUGGGAGCAGUGAUGGAGUGGAAAUGGCUACCACUAGGUUUGUUGAGAACACACUGUGCAUCUGCAGCUGUGUUAGCCAACUUUUAUGUAUUUUUAUCUUCUUAAAACAGAUUUUCUUCCUCCUAUAAGUAUGUAUUAGUUAAGUACUGUUUUUCUCGGUAUGCAGAAAAGAAAUCUGAUAACUGGAGAACUUAUGUAACUGAACUAGGAAACUCACAUUUCUGAUAAGUAAACUGAGAUAUAGAGAGCUCAAAUAACUUGUCCAAAAUUGGAGGUAUGUGAUGAAAGCUGUAUGGGAACUGGCAGACUGAAACUGGGGCCAGGUCACUGCAGCAUGAAAUUAUACCAAGUUCUUAUAAAGGAGAAAUCAAUGAAUGAAAAGGCUAUACCAUUCCAACUGGUGAAGAUAUAAACAAAAUCAAGGAAGAAGAGUUUGAGUAUGGCUUACAUCUUAAUCACAGAGGAAGCAUCUUAUUGGAGCAUUGACUGAAUAAUUAUGGGCACUCAGUUAUUAAAUUCUGUGAGUUUAUAUACAGAUAAUUACAUUUUAAUAUGAAAGAAUGUCAUUUUUACAGAAAUCUUGAAACUAUAUUUUAAUCAUUAACCAGUGUUGUUUAUUUGUUUACCUAAUUCUACUUAUAUAUGUCUAAUCCCUGGCUGAUGUAAUAUUAAGAGAAAUAUAGUUCUCUUCUUAGAGUUCUGAGCCUUUCUGAAUGCAUAAAAAAUCAGGCCAGGAAAAUGAUAAGUAAGCUUCUACUCUUUAAUGGAAAUGAUGUUAAAAUAUGUCCCUCUUUUCAGCCACUAGCCCUUUGUAUUAGUCCGUUCUCAUGCUGCUAUGAAGAAAUACCCAGGUAAUUUAUAAAGAAAAGAGGUUUAAUUGACUCACAGUUCUACAUGGCUUGGGGGGGCCUCAGGAAACUUAGAAUUAUUGCGGAAGGGGAGGUAAACACACCCUUCUUCACAUGGCAGCAGGAGAGAGAAGUGCAGAGGGAAUCAGGGGAAAGCCCCUUAUAAAACAAACAGAUCUCAUGUGAACUCACUCAUUGUCAUGAGACUAGCAUAGGGGAACUGCCCUAUGAUCUAACCACGUUCCACGAGGACUCUCCCCCAACAUGUGCGGAUUGCAAUUUGGAUUACAAUUCAAGAAGAGAUUUUGGGUGGAAACACAGCCAAACCAUAUCACUCAUUUUAAAAUAAGUUUUCUACAUGAAUAACUUAGGCUAAAAAAUGCAAGAAUUUUAUUUGAAGAGAAAUUGAUUAUCUCAAAAAAUAUUACACAAGUCUAAUGUGAAGUAUCUGCUGGCAUAAUAAAACCCUUGCAAAAAUAUGCCUUGCUUUUAACUAAAUUUAAUUUUAUAAAUCAAGCACACUUUCAAAAGAAGGAAAACAGGACCCAGUGUCAUUUGGCAAUAGUUUUACAGCUGAAUAUUUAAACAGUGAGUCUUGGCAUCCAUAAAAGAGUUUAAACAUCAAUUUAAAAAAAAAAAAGCUGACCAAAUGGC